CUCGUGUUGUGAAAUGUUGGGUUAAGUCCCGCAACGAGCGCAACCCUUAUCCUUUGUUGCCAGCGGUCCGGCCGGGAACUCAAAGGAGACUGCCAGUGAUAAACUGGAGGAAGGUGGGGAUGACGUCAAGUCAUCAUGGCCCUUACGACCAGGGCUACACACGUGCUACAAUGGCGCAUACAAAGAGAAGCGACCUCGCGAGAGUAAGCGGACCUCAUAAAGUGCGUCGUAGUCCGGAUUGGAGUCUGCAACUCGACUCCAUGAAGUCGGAAUCGCUAGUAAUCGUGGAUCAGAAUGCCACGGUGAAUACGUUCCCGGGCCUUGUACACACCGCCCGUCACACCAUGGGAGUGGGUUGCAAAAGAAGUAGGUAGCUUAACCUUCGGGAGGGCGCUUACCACUUUGUGAUUCAUGACUGGGGUGAAGUCGUAACAAGGUAACCGUAGGGGAACCUGCGGUUGGAUCACCUCCUUACCUUAAAGAAGC
rnacentral:rRNA from 1 species